GUUCUCUCUCGCCAUCGCCAUAUUGAUAUAAAAGUUUGUCUUGUGAAAUACACGAUGUGCAGUAUUCCUGUAUGAUGUAGUUAUCCAAUCCUUCUUGUUGUGUCAAAUAUAAAUUUUAAUUUUUAGUUAUUAAAUUCUACGUGAAAAGAUCAUAUUAAUACAUAUAAUUAUAUAUUGAAAGCUAGCUUUUGAAUUAAAACCAUGUGAAUUGAAUCUUCGGAUAUAUAAUAGUAACGUCAAUAAAUUUUGGUUUAGGUUUUCAAAUACACAUUUGCAUUGAAACUUGAAGCAGUUUUAUUUUAAGGACGCUACUGAUUUUCACAUACGUAUUUGCAUAGAAUCUUGAAGUUUAUUUUUAAGAAGGCUUCUAACAAGUUUAAAGUUAUCAAGAAUUUUGUUUCAUAUAAUUCUGCUAUUAGAGAAACAUAAUAAGUUUUAAAUUCUGGAAAGAUAUUUGCAUUUUUGAGCAUACGGCAUUUUCCGGGACCGCUAAACUUUUUAUAAGAUUAAAACGAUUUAAAUUGUAUCUUCAGCUAUAAUGCAUUAAUUUUGGUUUGAAUGUCCACACACAUCAAUGCAUUAAUGGUUGAAAUAAUAAUUCUAUUUUAAAAAGGGCUUUUGGUUUUCACACCCACAUUUGCGUUGAGACUACUGCGAGAGAGAAGUAGGUUUAUUUUUAAGAAGGCUUCUGAAGGCUUCUGGUAAGUCUACAUUUCACGAGAAUUUUGUCUCAUAUAAUCCUGCUAUUAGAGCAACAUAAUAAGUUUUAAAUUCUGUAAAGCUAUUUGCAUUUUUGAGUAUAUGGCAUUUUCUAGGACAGCAUAAAUUUAUGUAAGGUAUUGCUUUUUCGUAUUAUUUCCAUUAAAAUUUUAAUUUCUAGUUAUAUUUUACUUUAAAAUAUCAUAUUUACAUUAUAAUUAAGUGUUGAAAAUGGAUUUGUAGAUUAAAACAAUUUAAAUUGAAUAUUCGGGUAUAAUGCAUUAAUUUUUGUUUGGAUGUCCACACACAUCAAUGCAUUAAUGGUCGAAAUAAUUCUAUUUUAAGAAGAGCUUCUGUUUUAAUUGCUACUUUAAAAGAUCAUAUUCACAUUAUAAUUACAUGUUGCGAUCUGAUAUUUGGAUUAAAGGUUUUCACAUACACUUUGCAUUGAAACUUAAAGUAGUUUUAUUUUAAGAAAGUUACUGAAUGGAUAAAAAAGAAGCUAAGAGAAAGUUGGAGGAAUUAAUGGAGAAAGAAAAAAAAAUUAAAAAAUAGGAAGAAAGAAUUGGAGGAAUUUUUAAAAGAUAGUGAUGAAGCAGAUGAUGAAGCAGAUGAAGAAAGAGAAGAGAGGCGAGAAAGAGACGAAGGACAGAGAGAACACCAACAACAGCAACAUCAGCAUUGGCACGACGAAGACGAUUCCCGUACGCAGCGUCGGGCUGGAAUAAGACGUGUUGAACGUGAUGCGAGAUAUAAAUGGUCUGCGCGUAGGAAAGAAUACAGAGACGAAACACGUGAAGGAAAUGGAGAAAGAAGAGGAAUGGAAAGCAAGAGGAGGAAGAGGAAUGA